UGGGGAAUUUUGCACAAUGGGGGAAACCCUGAUGCAGCGACGCCGCGUGAUUUAGAAGGCCUUCGGGUUGUAAAAAUCUUUUUUACGGGAUGAAAAUGACAGUACCGUAAGAAUAAGGUCCGGCUAAAUACGUGCCAGCAGCCGCGGUAAUACGUAUGGACCGAGCGUUGUCCGGAAUCAUUGGGCGUAAAGGGUACGUAGGCGGCCUAGUAAGUUAGAAGUGAAAUAAUAUAGCUCAACUAUAUAAAGCUUUUAAAACUGCUAGGCUUGAGAGAUGGAAGGGAAAGUGGAAUUCCUAGUGUAGCGGUGAAAUGCGCAGAUAUUAGGAAGAAUAACGGUGGCGAAGGCGACUUUCUGGUCAUCAUCUGACGCUGAGGUACGAAAGCGUGGGUAGCAAACAGG
rnacentral:rRNA from 1 species